UGGUCUGUAUCUUUGAGUGUGUCUGCCUAUAACCAGGCACAGUCGUGGACUAAAAUGUAAAGAAAAUGCUCUAGUUUGAAAAUAAAGAAUUGUCUCUUAUUCACAAGGAUGUUCCUAGAUGAAGGGCUUGAUCACAGUGCUUAUGAAUGAGUCUCAAAUUGAAAUAAAGCACCAGCAGUCCAGCAUGGAUAGUCAGAAGACUAACUGUGAGUCAGACAUUCAGCUCCACCAGGUUUUUCACUCUUCUAAGGAAUUAGAGAGCAGAUAGGGAAUUUGAAAAACAAAGUUUAAUUGAACUAUAAAAGAUGUUUUGAUAAUGAUAAUGGUAGCCAAUAACUGACUCUACAAUCUACUGACUCUAUAUUGCUAGUAAGUCAUUUUAAAAAGAAGAAGCUUCCAGAAAAAUGGUUUCCUAAAGCCACAGAAGCCGAGAUGUUAGCAUAAGGAUUCAAAUUGUGGCUGUUUCAGGACUUCUUGUGAAUUCCAGUUCUCAGGAGAAUCUGGAAAGACCGUCAAUGCCAUGUUCGUUCUGAUGCUGGAGAAGACCUGAAUAACAGAUGUUAUGCUCCUAUUGUGGCAAGCAUUUGAAAAUUACAGAGGCUGAGAUAUGGCAUAAGCAAAA